CUUUUUUUUCCUUCUUUCGUUGUGUGAAGUCGUCAAGUGACUCACGCAAGUGACGCAAGGCAAGGUCAGUCGAACAUUGGCUCUUGUUUUAGGUGGCAGUAGGGGCUCAGCUGGACCAAAACUCUUUGGCUGGACUGUCUAUUUGACAGUUUCUAUUUCAACUAACCAUGAAAAUUUGGACAAGUGAACACAUAUUCAAUCACCCCUGGGAGACGGUGGCCACAGCAGCCUGGAGGAAAUAUCCCAACCCUCACAAUACUGCAGUUAUCGGAACGGACGUUGUAGAAAGAAGGGUUGUGGACGGGGUGUUACACACUCAUAGACUGGUCAGCUCGAUUUGGUAUUUCCCUAGAUGGGCGCAAGCUCUCAUUGGUUCUGCCAAAGUAUGUUAUGCGAGUGAACAAUCAGAAGUUAAUCCCUCAUCUCGUCACAUGAUCCAGAAGACCAUCAACCUCACAUUCUGUCGACACAUUGCCGUCGACGAAACCCUGAAGUAUGUUCCGCAUCCGUCUGAUCCGAGCAAAACACUACUCAAGCAAGAAGCCGUAGUAUUGGUCAAAGGUGUGCCUCUGACCAACUACAUGGAAGAUCUCCUGACAACCAAGAUCUCUACUAAUGCCAGCAAAGGUCGUCAAGCUAUGGAAUGGGUAAUAAAUAAACUGAAUGAAGAAGUAAAGGAUCUCACGCGGACUACUGACGAAUUCAUCUUCCAGUCGAAGAAGUCCCUCGACGACAUUGCGUCCAGUGCGAAGAAGUCCAUGGACGAUAUAUCUCAUAAAGCGAAGAAGAGCCUUGAUGACAUGCAACAAUUCAAUUUAAGUUAAUUGAAGUCUUUCGUGGAUUGUCUAGCACAAUUUUUUCAUCAUUCUCGUCUGGCUGCCUGUGAGAAAUAAAAAACUUUUCCGUGUUGACAAUCUGGCGAAUUUUAGUAAGCAAAUCUAUUUUUUUCUUUUGGUUUGUGAAAAGAAACUAAAAUUUGUCUAUUAAUUGUGUAGAAAUAUUUAAAGUAAAUUUUUAUUAUACAAUAACUAAUUUAAUGCCAACACCAGAAGAAAAUAUUUUUACAGCAUCGUUAUCACUGAAAAAGCAUCCUACAUACGAUACUCAAAGGAGUUCAGGUUAUUUUAUUUCGAAACUCCUAUAUUCAGCAUCAUUAUUUUCAGUUUUGCACCGUGGCACGACUCUUUUCCUCUGCAAAUUGAUUAAUUUUCUAACAGGCAGUGAACUCACUGUUCAUUGUUGUUGACAAGUAUUAGCAUUUUACAAAGUAUAUAUUCGCCAGGUUUUUCCUGCAUAUAAUGUGAUCAUAAUACCAAUGUAAAUAAAUAUGCCCUGAGAUCUUAUUUAUUGAACAUUCCUACAACUGGAUGUUUAUAUUAUUGUAUUUCCUAGUUGUAUAUACACCUAAAUUCUAGGUAAACAAUUAUUAGUGAUUUUCAGUUGAAAUUUAUGUUGAAAAUAAACGUUCCCAGCAAAUA
rnacentral:misc_RNA from 1 species